rnacentral:rRNA from 1 species
ACCUGCUAAAUAGCCCGGUUGACUUUGGUUGACCGCCGGCUUCUUAGAGGGACUUUUGGCUCAAGCCAAUGGAAGUACGAGGCAAUAACAGGUCUGUGAUGCCCUUAGAUGUUCUGGGCCGCACGUGCGCUACACUGACAGAGCCAGCGAGUACAUCACCUUAGCCGAAAGGUUUG